rnacentral:rRNA from 1 species
CAAAACAUGUCUUUUAGUAAUUUAAUUUUAAGUCAGGCCUGCCCAAUGAGAUAUUUAAUGGCUGCAGUAAUUUAACUGUACAAAGGUAGCAUAAUCAUUAGUUUUUUAAUUGAAAACUAGUAUGAAUGGUUUUAUGAAAUAUUAAUUUUAUUAUAUUAAUAAAUAUAAUUUUUUUUUUUAGUAAAAAAACUAAAAUUAAUUUAAAAGACGAGAAGACCCUAUAGAUUUUUAUAGUUUGUGUUAUAUUAUAUUUUAAGAUUAUUAAAUUUUUAAUGAUAUUAGCUAUUUUGUUGGGGUGAUAGUAAAAUUUAAUAAACUUUUAUAUGUUGUGUACUUUAAUUAAUGAAUUUUUGAUCCAUUUUUAAUGAUUAAUAAAUUAAAUUACCUUAGGGAUAACAGCAUAAUUUAAUUGGAAAGUUCAAAUUGAUAAUUAAGAUUAUGACCUCGAUGUUGGAUUAAGAUAAAUUUUAGGAGUAUAAAUUUAAUUAUUAAGUCUGUUCGACUUUUAAAAUCUUACAUGAUCU